GGGGAGAUUCUGAAAAGAACCGUUGGUUUAAACUCGGCGUUUCGAUCAGCGCAGAAGACGAUCAGAGCAUACUGAUCGAAACGUCGAGUUGAAACCAACGGUUCUUUUCAGAACCUCCCCAACUAAUUAGAUCUAGUCAUUACAUGGUGUUACCGCAAACCUUUCUAUACUGUAUAAUAGUAUGUUUCCAAACAUGGCCAAAUAUAAUGGCUGUGUGCAGGCAUUUGGCCGAUAAUUGAUAUUCACAAGUGCUUUUUUAAAGAUGUACCGCAUGUAUCUUAGGAAAUCGAGUACAGUUUAACAAUAUAUUAAGCACUUACAUGUACACCACCAUUCUAGACGCUCCUUUAUGCUCACCUGUUCCAGCAGGCUUACUAACUAUUCACUUGCCAUGUCUGUGCCUCGGAGAAAAUUUGAUUUUGGCGCUUCGUAGAUUGAUUGAUUGAUUGAUUGAUUGAUUGAUUAAUGAUUUAUUGAAGCCGCCAAGAUGGACACCAUGCUUUAGUUUACAUGUAACUAUGGCCCUUUUCGAAACCAUGGCUCCAGAUUGGUUCAGGCUAGAUUGGCCCCGCGACCGUUUUGACAUUUUGAGCAUGCUUUGUGUAUCUGUGCUCAGGGCUUCAGACGGCCUGAAGCGGAAUCCAAAGCCGAGGUAUCGAAAAGGGACUAAUGCCUAGGUGUAUAGUUGUAUGCUUCAAAUCAGUGCGCCAUGAUGGUUGCUGGUGUUACUUGGACUCAUGUCUAGGUGUAUAGUUGUAUGCUUCAAAUCAGUGCGCCAUGAGGGUUGCUGGUGUUGCUUGGACUCAUGUCUAGGUGUAUAGUUGUAUGCUUCAAAUCAGUGCGCCAUGAGGGUUGCUGGUGUUGCUUGGACUCAUGUCUAGGUGUAUGCUUCAAAUCAGUGCGCCAUGAGGGUUGCUGGUGUUGCUUGGACUCAUGUCUAGGUGUAUAGUUGUAUGCUUCAAAUCAGUGCGCCAUGAUGGUUGCUGGUGUUACUUGGACUCAUGUCUAGGUGUAUAGUUGUAUGCUUCAAAUCAGUGCGCCAUGAGGGUUGCUGGUGUUGCUUGGACUCAUGUCUAGGUGUAUGCUUCAAAUCAGUGCGCCAUGAGGGUUGCUGGUGUUACUUGGACUCAUGCCUAGGUGUAUAGUUAUAUGCUUCAAAUCAGUGCGCCAUGAUGGUUGCUGAUGUUACUUGGACUCAUGUCUAGGUGUAUGCUUCAAAUUAGUGCACCAUGAGGGUUGCUGGUGUUACUUGGACUCAUGCCUAGGUGUAUGCUUCAAAUUAGUGCGCCAUGAUGGUUGCUGGUGUUACUUGGACUCAAGAUUUCACCCAGAACCCUUGGGUGCCAAUCAUGCCCAUCAGGAUACGCAUAAGGGCAAAUUUUGGCAGAGGGCAACAUCUUCGCAAUCAAUGGUUUUAAAGUAGCAAUGGUUUUCAUUUUCAUUUUGCAAAGGGCACUUCCAUUUCAAAUUUGUUCAGUCUAUGGGAAACUUUUAGCGUAGAGGGGCACCAAGGCCAGGGGCAUAAUUCCAGUACUGGUAUCUACAUGGGCCAGUUAAAACAUUCUGAUGAAUACAAGCAAGAAGCUGAACAUUUGAAGUUUAAAGGAACAUUACAGAAUUGGUUUUGCUAUCAAUUUUUAUUUCUUCCCAAUUCUGUAACGUUCCUUCAAGUUUAUUUGAUGCCAUUCAAUUGUUGUCCUUCACAUCAACUACCCUCCAGGGAAUAACUUAAAUAAUCCAUGGAUUUAUGGACUCAAUUCCAAUCUUAAUAAAGAAACUGAGGAUACACAAUUCGUUCUUGUAGUUGUUUAUUUAUUCUUUAAAUCAUUAUAAACAAUCCAAGUUAAUGGAAUACACUUUUACAUGGAAAACCCCCACGAUAUUUUACAUUACUUUUUUAGGGGAAAAAACUUGUUAAUUAAAUAACUGUACAAAUAUUAAACAUGUUUUGGUUUAAACAAUA